rnacentral:rRNA from 1 species
CGGCGCCUCAAGUGGUAGUCACUAUUAUUGGGCCUAAAGCGUCCGUAGCCGGUUUGGUACAUUCGUGGGUAAAUCAACCAGCUCAACUGGUUGAAUUCCGCGAGCACGGCCAGACUUGGGACCGGGAGAGGUGUGGGGUACUCUCAGGGUAGGGGUAAAAUCCUGUCAUCCUGCGAGGACCACCUGUGGCGAAGGCGCCACACUAGAACGGAUCCGACGGUCAGGGACGAAGCCUAGGGGCGCAAACCGGAUUAGAUACCCGGGUAGUCCUAGGUGUAAACGCUGUGGACUUGAUGUUGGGGGCGCUUCGAGCGAGUUCAGUGCCGCAGCGAAGGUGUUAAGUCCGCCGCCUGGGGAGUACGGUCGCAAGGCUGAAACUUAAAGGAAUUGGCGGGGGAGCACUG